rnacentral:lncRNA from 1 species
UUUCAUGACUUAUUUCCAUCUAAACUUUCAAUCCUCAUCUACUGUCAUUUCCCGCUUCCACUACCUUCUGCUUCUACCCCAAACACAUAAUGACAUUUUAUAAUUCCCUGUCUUUGCACAUAUUGUUCUCUCAAAAAUGUCAUGUCCCAAGCUGGGGUGGUGGCUCAUGCCUGUAAUCCCAGCACUCUGGAGGGCUGAAGUGGGAGGACUGCUUGAGAUCAAGAGUUUUGAGAUCAGCCUGGGCAGCAUAGUGAGACCCUGUCUGUACAAAAAGUAAAAAAAUUUGCUGGGUGUGGUGGCGCACGCUUGUAGUACCAGCUACUUGGGAGGCUGAACCGGGAAGACUGCU